GCAGAUGCAAAAAGAGGAUUUCUAAAAUAGAAAGGAUAAAAGAUAAAGAAACAAAUUCUCCAGUAGUAUGGGAACAGUGAGGAUUAUUUUCUUUAUUUUGGGGGAAGCAGAUUAUAGGGCACCUUGCAAAGAGGCCUGUCUGAAGGGUCUGCCUUGAAGAAGCUGUCCAGGGUCAUCAAAGAAAAAGCAAGUUCAGUUAAUUAUUAAUCAUCCAAAAAUCCUUGGGAGUCCAUCUGCAGGAAUAAAGAUAGACUGUCUCUGAGUAAUCUCUGCCGUGGUUCCUCUUUAGCAGCCCCACCUGACUUAGGUCAGGUUUGCACCAUCUCCAUCGUCAGAAUCUUCUCAAAGGCAAAAUACAACUCCUUGACCAGCUUUCUUCUUACAAUGCAAAAUCCAAAAUCAGCUAGGGCAGGGGUUCUGUGUGCGUGUGUGUGUGUGUAUGCGGGUGUGUCUGGUUUGUCCCUCUAGGAAACAAAACAAAACAAAGUGAAAGCACAGUGCAAUAGGCAAAAGGGGAAAUAGUUCCUAACUGAAAUACAUCUCAGGACUCCUGCUUCAAGGCAAAGACAAAAAUCUUGGUUACCACCAAAUAGGCCACAAGGGGGCACUGUGGGACUGCCAAGCUGCAAAAGUUUCUGGGGCAGAACCAGCUGUCUGGGACCAGGAGGGUUAAGGAACAGCCUUGUUUGGUGCUUUGAUCCCCUAGAAGGCUUACUAGUAGAGACAUUACUUGGAGGUGUGCUGUCCCAGCCUGGAGCCAUGAACUUCAGCUGUGCAGUGGUGAGGGAGUCUCUCUGAGCUUGGAAGGGAAAGUGAAGGGUGUGGAGCUGAGAGGAGGCAGCCAGCCAGCAUGCCCCAGGCAGGGACAGGUAGAGGGACACCAGCUACAAAGGAAAAGGAAAGGAGCUGAGGGCAGGGGCAUGAUGCCUAACCCAGCCUAGCCUAGACCAGCCCAGUCAAGCCCCAUAUGUCAUGGAAGAAGCUUUGCAGGACAAAGCAAUGUUCCUGGAUCAGCUGAGCCAGGGACAUGGCAAGGGAGGCCAGGCUCAUGGGAACCAGAGGAGACAAUGACAUCAGAGCCAUGACAUCACCACCUAACCUCCAGUCAGAGAAGGGAUGCUCAGAACUUCAUCUCUUAUGGAACCACAACUCUGAGCAGUGAGACACCUAACCAGUUUUGCUCCACCCUGCCAUGGGCUCCAGGCUUCUCUGCUGUGUGGCCCUUUGUCUCCUGGGAGCAAGUGCAGUGGAUUCUGGAGUCACUCAAACACCAAGACACCUGAUUAAAACAAAAGGACAGCAAGUGACACUGAGAUGUUCCCCUAUCUCUGGGCACCCCCGUGUAUCUUGGUACCAACAGGCACUGGGCCAGGGCCCCCAGUUCCUCUUUCAGUAUUACAUGGGGAGAGAGAAUGGAAAAGGAGACAUCCCAGAUCGAUUCAAAGGGCAGCAGUUCAGUAACUAUUGCUCUGAGCUGACGGACUCGGCCCUGUAUCUCUGUGCCAGCAGUGCAGCACAGCCCUGCAGAGUCACCCGCAUUCUGUGCACAAACCUCCCUGCCCCGGCAUGGAGCAACCUCAGAGCCAACAGAUCUGUGAGGACCUCAGGGCUGCAGCAGGAGAGAAAAACGCGUUAGGCCCCUGGAAAGUACAGCCUCCAGCUGUUCUGCCACUCAGGGACAUCAAACAGCAGAGGACAAAAGCAUCUGUUCAGAGGAUUGUGCUAUAUCAAUAGCUUCACUCCAAAACCACC